rnacentral:misc_RNA from 1 species
GAGUUAUAGAGUUGAUGGUACGCUCACCCUGUAGGAUUUGGCCAUAAGGCUUUGUCAUAGGGUUUUGGGGAUGUUUUCCAAGUGCUGGUCACGUGACUUGCUGUUACUAAUAUACCCUGCUGCCACCACCGUAGCGUUGUAGAACUAAGCCAGUAAGCGUUUCCAAGGAAUCGUGAGAAUGGCUGGUUCAAAUACCUCAAAUGGGAAAUUACCCAAAAAAAUGUCGUGUUUUAUUUGCGGCAACAUAUACCAAGACGAGAACAGACGAGUUGGUCUGUUUCAUGUACCGAAGAAGAACUUUUCCAGUUGGAAAUUUGUGCUACCUGAAUUGUUGGAAAAAUCAAGACUUUGUGACAUCCAUUUUGACAAAUGUGAUGUAUUGAAAGGAAUCACAGUUGGUAAGGACUUUUAUCCAUAUGACAGAUGGAGAUUGCUUCCCUCAGCAAUACCAAAACAUUUACUGGUAAAACAAAGUGCAGCUGCCAGUCGCACUCAAAGUCGCACACCUUUGAAAGACAUUUUUAGUGUGAACCACACAGGGAAUCAACCUACGAACUACUUUCCACCAAAAAAACGUAAUAGUAAAGGAUCUACAUCAAUAUCACAGACUCCAGAAAACAAGAUAGCAAUGGAUGAAGAUGAAGAACAUUCUAUUGUAGGAUGUGCUAUCGAGAACACUCCAGAAAACAAGAUAGCAAUGGAUGAAGAUGAAGAACAUUCUAUUGUAGGAUGUGCUAUCAAGAAAAGUAAUGCACCUGAAAAAAAUUCCCCUAAAAGCAAUUUCAUAGAGAAUGACAAAGAUGGCAUGGCAGAUUUUAUUUUCAAAAAACAUACGAAAAAGAAAUGUCAAAUAAGACUGCCUACGAAUUGCAAUCAAUGCUGGUUACUUUACAAUAUUAACCGGAAAGUUCAAUCAAGACCCACUUGAGCGUUUUUUCGGAAUCGUCCGCGGAAUCGACGACACUCCAACGGCACAUUCUUGGCUGCAAAUCUUCCGAAUUUUAUCGGUUUACAAUCCCACAAAAAUGCAUUUAGUUCGAGGCAAUAUAGAUAAUGAAGAAAAUCUCCGUGUUCUCGUUUCUUAUGAAGAAUGUCUCCUAAACAAGUUUAAAGCUUGCGAAAAAGAAGCAGCGCGAAUUCGUGAGUCCUUCAAGGAACAAUUGUUGGAGGAAUUAUCAGUCCGGUAUGUCGAUGUGAUGGACAAUCAAUCUAGUAAUGAUGAAGUGAAACAUGAAAUGCUUUAUGAUAUGUGUGGUUAUCUCGUGAAAACUCGUGAUUCUGUAUGGAUACAUUGCCCUAACUGCAAGAAAGGCCUUAUUACGAAGUAUGAGGAUUUGCCUUCAACUUUCUUGUCUGCUGACUACACUGCCGAUCGGAAUCAUGGCGGUCUAACCUUUGUUACUGUAAAUUUUUUUAAAUAAUUCAACUGGUGGAAAAUGUGAUGAGCAAUUUUUUACGACAACGAUAGUCAUGUCUACAUAUCUAAUUGCUAUGAAACUGUGAUGUCAGAAAUAUGUAAAUUGAAACUGUUAAAUGUCUUUUGUUUUGAACACGAAGAGUCGCUGCCAUAUAUAAUUCUGCAAUAUGUUCACAUACGAUUUCAUACAGAGUCAAAACGAUUUCGUAAUUUUUACCUCUCCAAAGAAAGAACGCAGAUGAAAACGAAUAAAAAAAUGUCAAGAACUUCUAUUCACGCAAAAAAUACAUUGCCAAAACCAGAAGUUAACAUCAAUACAAAGGUUUAAACAAACUCGCGCGAAAAUAUUUCGUUUCAUUGCACCAAACAACCACCAGGCGCCUCUGCGGUAGAUAAGUAACACUUGCGGACAAAGCCUUAUGGCCAAAUCCUACAGGGUGAGCGUACCAUCAACUCUAUAACUCUGACUCUGCUCUGCUCUGUCGAAACUAUCUAAACAUAUCUAAACCAUCUGGCAUCGCUGCGGCGCCUAGUUGUCUGCAUUGUAUUUCCGCCGCAGAUCUUAAAUCAAUCCAGACUUCCAGAGUCGACCGUCGACACGCUGCAAUCGAGUCACAUAAGCAUGAUAAUUAAAAAUCAUGCGUGUACCCUAACUCCGUAUGAAUGACGAAACGAGGUGAUGUCAGCGUCAGUUUUCGUUUUGUUAGUAAAGGCAUGAAGGAGGAAUGGCAAAGGAUCAUGAUGGCGGCACUAGAUGGCUAGCCACUGGAAACUCGCAGCACAAGUUUAUGCAGGUUGGAUAGUGGACAAUGGCCCAACUCUUCUCACAAUUUUCCUGUUCAUGCAAGAAACAUUAAGUUAGCUCAAAAGCUAAUCAAAUACCUUGACGUGACUUGGCAUUGUCACUAGCACAAAUAAAGCUACAGUAAAUUCCUGCAAAAUUAGUAGAUACAAGUAUUUGUGCAUGGGUAGGCUUGACUGGCUUUUUACAGAAACACAGGAUGGUGAACAUAAUUACAUGAAAUAGUAGGAUUGUAGAGAAAAUGUAUCACAUCAAGUAAAUCAAGAUGGCAAGGGAAAAAAACAGAUUAACACCUAAUGACCAUGAAAAAAGGCAAGCACUAUUUCAAGUAAAAUGGCUUCCACAAUUGUAGGAUAUCCUCCACUGUCAAAGUAUUAGAAGCUUUGGGAAUUUUAUCUGACCAGAAAUAUUCCAAAUAAUUUGCAUUGAAAUUGAAAGAAUGUAUGCAUGAAGGUGAAACUGUAGUUUCUUGGAAAAAGUGUUCACAGUUGCAUUAAAGCAACAGUCAUCAAAGUAUGGAAUAUCUGGGCAGCAAAGGGGUUUAUGUUAGAUCCGAAUUGACGAUUUGUUGAAGCACGUAACUUUAAAUUGAAGGCAAUUGCGAAUAACGAUAGUAAACCGGAUGUUGGUAGUGAAUUUUCUUCAUGACGUAUCUUAGUGUGUGGUAACCUGUUAGCAUUACUUAGGAAGUCAUGCAUACUGUUAGAUAUUUGAAGCGGUUGAAGCAUUCUUUCAACAAGGGUUAUAAUUGAAAUGAUACUUAAUCGGAUAUUUGUUUUGAAACCUGAAUAAUGCUAAAGCUUUCGCCACCCGUGGAGUCGUUGCCAGUUACCAUCGGCUAGUUAAGCAGUUGCAGGUGCGAUGGGAACAUCAGCUGCUGGUUUUACCACGGAACAUAGGGUGAUGCAUAAUAGCAACAUAAUUCUUUACUAAGCUUCUGUUUGCCAAAGGAUAUUCUAUUGGGUUACACGUAAAACAUCCUAAUUCAUCUGGCUGGGAACAACACCUGAUCAUUUCAAUGUAAGUGCCCAAUUUAUUGAUUUUUAUUUUUGCUUUGUGUCAUGGUCUUGUACUGUAGUAUUCGAAAUAACAGUUUUCCGAUUCGUUGCGCGACGAAUACUUGGAUUUCUAUAGACAGUGUUGGCCGUUCUUUGCGCUAUGAAUUCCCUUCACCCUUGUGUUUUGUUUUGUGUUUUGGUACUCUACUAUACCUACGUUGGCAUCUCUGAUGACUUUGUCAGCUGCUACUUCGUAUACGUUACUUUGUGAACUAACGAAGUCAAUUCCCAAAUUCGCCGAACUUUGAAAACCUAUUUUGUUUCAAGCAAUUUUAUUUAUCUACUAAGUAUUAAAACACUAGAAUUUUCGUUUAGAGCUUUUUUUUCAUAUUUUUAUUUCACAGAUCAAAAUUAUUUUCCGAAAUGACAAGCAAUCUCAAGUAACGAAAUGUUGGCUUUGUGAAAGAAAUCGAGGGAAAGGAAAAGACGAAGAAGUAUAACAAUGAUUUUGUUUCGAUGCUCAGAAAACCUGCGUGCUUCUUAAGUCUGCAGGUUGCGCUUUUUGUUGAUUUUCUUUUUUUGUUUAAUUCGCGUCACAUUUAAAGGAAGGGUCAAAUUUUACAUUAUUCAAAGUCGCUGCCAUUGCAAUUUUGC